rnacentral:rRNA from 1 species
CACGUAGGGUGCGAGCGUUGUCCGGAAUUACUGGGCGUAAAGAGCGUGUAGGCGGCUUGGUAGGUCCGCUGUGAAAACUCGAGGCUCAACCUCGAGAUGUCGGCGGAAACCACUUGGCUAGAGUCCGGAAGAGGAGAGUGGAAUUCCCGGUGUAGCGGUGAAAUGCGCAGAUAUCGGGAAGAACACCUAUGGCGAAGGCAGCUCUCUGGGACGGUACUGACGCUGAGACGCGAAAGCGUGGGGAGCAAACAGG